GAGUUGUAUUGUCACUGAAAAUGAAAACCUGUGUUGCUGGGGCUGCACAGAGAAGAGGAGGCCCGACUUCCAGCAUGAAGAUGCUAAAAGCUGUCCUCCUAGAUGCAUUUCCAUAGAGCAGCGGUUCUCUGAAUUUCCGUAUGCAAAAGAAUAUAGCAACACUGAGAAGCAGUGCUUCACUGAGGCACACGCUGCUUCUUUGACUCUUCUUUGAUCAUAAGACUGGACUGGCGAUUGGAUUUCACCCUGCAUCUCAGGCU